rnacentral:rRNA from 1 species
UACGAAGGGUGCAAACGUUGCUCGGAAUUAUUGGGCGUAAGGCGCACGUAGGCGGCAUUGCAAGUCGGAUGUGAAAUCUUAUGGCUUAACCAUAAAAGUGCAUCCGAAACUGCAGUGCUUGAGUACUUAAGAGGAUCGCGGAAUUCCCGGUGUAGAGGUGAAAUUCGUAGAUAUCGGGAGGAACACCAGUGGCGAAGGCGGCGAUCUGGGAAGAUACUGACGCUGAGGUGCGAAAGCGUGGGGAGCAAACAGG